UACGAAGGGGGCUAGCGUUGCUCGGAAUCACUGGGCGUAAAGCGCACGUAGGCGGAUUGUUAAGUCAGGGGUGAAAUCCUGGAGCUCAACUCCAGAACUGCCUUUGAUACUGGCGACCUUGAGUCCGGGAGAGGUGAGUGGAACUGCGAGUGUAGGGGUGAAAUUCGUAGAUAUUCGCAAGAACACCAGUGGCGAAGGCGGCUCACUGGCCCGGUACUGACGCUGAGGUGCGAAAGCGUGGGGAGCAAACAGG
rnacentral:rRNA from 1 species